GAGGCGCCACGUGACGAGGGGCGGGGCAAAACGACUGGCCAAUUCCCAAGGUUCAAAGGCCUGGAACUGAGCUAGCGCAGCACUGCGAUGAUGGCAUCCAUCUGCCCUAGUACCUGACUGGGGUCCUGGGCUGUGCCUUUGCGUGGUUAGCUGUCUCUGAAACCCUAUGGUUCAGAAGGCCACUUCUUUCCAACUGCUUUUGUUAUUUUUUAAAGAUCACCUGGUUCACUGUUUUAAACACGCACUGAAGAUCAACUCAAGAGUCUCACAAUGUAGUUUAGGCUGGCCUUGGGCUCACUUUGUAGCCCAGAAUGGUCUCGAACUCACAAUGAUUCUCCUGCCUAAGCCUCCCAAGUGCUGGGAUUACAGGCAUGUGCUACUACACUUGGCUGAACCUUUCUUCUUUUAAGGUAUGUAUUGGGUAUUUUGACCUAGGGAUAAGAACGUAAGAUACUGGGGCCUCAAGUCUGAGUCUACUAAAAGCCAGCCUGCAACUGGUGAAGUCCUAGACAGAGGUGCCAGAGGAUGAAGCCUGAUUAAGGGACUAUAUCUGUUCCUCUAGGCAUGGAAGGUUCGCAACACUUCUGUCAGUUUGAGGAAUGUUGAUGCCUGAAGUAGCUGUAAGUGGUACUUAGGUAUGCAGACAUAGAUAGCAUUGCAGUCUCUGUUCCUAACUACCUCAAAUGCUAGAGGGGAAGAGUUUAGUUGUCACGGGGACAAGUUGCCAAACACUGGUUCUAUCUGGUAGGCCAUUUGAAACAGGUUACAGCCUAUCUGCCCUCUGCCUAUUCCAGAUGAGCUGCUAAACUACCCAUGGAUUCCCAAGCAUCCAAUCCUAUAAGAAAAGGUGUUCUAGAAACAUUCACCAUGUUUACAUGACUGUGUCUCAGCCUUAUGACAAAAGCUAUCACCCUGGAAUGAGUUCCCACACGGCGGACACUUCUCUAGCCAAAUGCUAUUCCAUGCUCCUGUGAUAGGGUAAUGUUCAGCCAAAAGAGGCCUGUUGUUUGGAUAUCUAAUUGAAGGUCAUUUCCGGAGUUUUGUGGCACUUAAGUGGGUCAGGAGCACUGCUCCCUGGGGCCAGAGAAUCCUCACCUCUGGAUCUUUACAUUGAAUGGCACAAAUGAAGACAAACCAAAGCACUCUCCUCAAAGGGCUGUUUUGGUGGUUAGAGGUGUUACACAUAUAACACUUAGCAUAGUGCCUAACUAGCAAGACGACCUCUGACAACCAGUAUUGUGUUGGUCACCAUUGCUAGGUGAUGCCAAAGUGUGGCAAUGAUGGUAGACAGGCACUUAAAUCCUACUGCUUCCCACUGCCCUUGUGGUUCAGGCAAGCUGUUGUCAGAAGCAAGUGUGCCUAUCCUCAGGGCACGCAUCCAACAAUCUUUGCACAACACUCUGAUUACUGCUUGGGGUGAAACACCUGCUGGGACUGGCCAUAUGGCCUCAAAGUGUUCAUGCCUGCAGGAUGCUCAGCCCUAACCUUCUAUUCCAUGACCAUCCUGCUUGGCUACAAGAGUGUUGUCCAGAUUGCUAGAAAAAAGUGAAAAGAGAAAAUAAAGCCCACAUAGGGCAACCAGCUCUUUGAUGACAGAGCCUGAAGUGGCUCCUGACCACAAGAUGCCUGGCUUUACCCUGUAGAGGCCCCCACAGGCUCUAUACAAGCAGCAAGGCCUUUAAGAGAGGAGGGCUCCAGGAAGGUGAAAAUAUGACAGAAACCUCCUAUUCAGAAUAGUAACUACCUAAGUCACUAAAACUUACCUCUUCAACUUUUUUGACGAGUGGACGUGAAUUUCUGAUGAAAGUUAUCUUACCAAGUUUAAAUUCGUAAUUAGGAAUUCCUCUGUGAAAAAGACACAGCAAUGUUAGUUUUUCAGGAAGAAAGAGCUAAACUUCACUUCUGAUAACCCGGCAAAAGAAAACAUAAAAGACAAGUUUUCAUGGUGACCCAUUCUCGGAAAUAUUGCUGCAUCCCAACAUAGAUCUUUGUCCAGCCCUUGGCAGUGCUUCCUAGCAUUCUUCUAGCAGAGAACCAGCACAAAAAUGGUCCUAGUUUAGCAUAAAUAUUGGGUGUAAUAGUUGGGCUUGACUCUAAUCUGACCUGUAUUAAGGAGUCAUCUCACUGCAAUGGUUUUAUUCACAUAACUCUUAGAGGCCAGAUAAAACAACCUAUUUCUAGCAUUCUCCUUCUGCUCACACAUAGUAGAGAGCUAACUCAUCUUAUCUGACCCGACUAUGAUAGCCACGAAAGGAAGGGUCUGUUGAGUAACUAGACUCAAUGAAGUCAUAUCCUCCAUACCUGGAAACCAGAUGGAAAUUUGAGCCUACUAGCCUAGGCUUUGUCUCUUCAAGGGGCUAGCUCAGACUCUCCUUAGACAAUAACAAAACAUCUGGCAGAGGCAGAGCCAGGACAGACCUACCUUUUAAUGUCGCCAGGCUUGAUGGGCGAUGGACUGGGCUCAACCCCUUUCUUCUUUCCAUCCAGUCUAUUCCCAGAACCUGAGAAGGCCUAAACAGGGAUGUAGGAGUAUACAGUGAGCCCUGAGAUGGAGCACAGAUAUGUCCUUUUCUUAGAGACUGCUGUAGGGAUAUGAGUUGAGAGUGCUGCCAAGACACCAUCAGAACUAAAGCCCUUACUCCUCUACUGCUAGAGUCUUGGCAAAUGAUUUCUCUCCACCUAGCUGGCAGGAGACUGCUAGAACUGAUAAAAGCCAUCUUAUCAGGGCAGCCAGGGGCCAGUGUUGAAGUGAAUUUGUCUAGCCCUCGCCUUUGCAAGGGCUACCCAGCUCAAUCCCUGGUAGGUGGACUAAGGCCUCUGCCCCUAGGUUCAGCUUCCUGCAUAACCAGUCAUAAUCUCUCCAUUGUUUCCUAGUACCCUGAUAUCCAUACAUGAACCAUCUCUACCUGCUUCCCGGGUAGCCUAACUGGGUCCUAAUGAUCAUAUAUGCAGCUUACUUUCAGUCUGGGCAAAGAAAAAUAGAACAUGCGUUUAGAGAGAAAUAAAAGCAAGAGUAAAUACUAGUGAACCUACAACAGUGGUGGUGAACCUAUGGCAUACGUGCUAUACUGGGCAUGCAAAACCAGGUUACUCCAGCAGCUGAGCUUUGGAUAAGAGUGCACAUAGGAGCGCAAGCUCAGAAAGUAGCACUAGGGUGAUGACAUGAUGAGAUGAGACUCGUUAGCUGUUAGUUAUUCAAGUUUUCACGUGGCUGGUCAGUGUGUUGCCAAGGAUAGAUAUAUUUACUUGGACUGGCUAUGAAUUCUAAUACAUUUGUUUUUAUUAACACAAGAUUUUAGCUUUAAGUUUUAUGAAAAUUGAAAUUUAAUAUCUAAAAUUUAGUGGAGAUGCUUUGAGAUUCUUUUAAUGUUGUACUAUCCCCCACCAUAUCUGAAUUUGCAGCAACAUAUCUAGUUGUUUGUGAAAAAUUUAUGCAAACAAAAGUGAAGAUAUAUAUUUGUUUGAACUGACUGAUUUUAGCAGAAGCCCCCACAAGGUAGGAAAUGUACUCAGAUGCCUUCUGCAGAGCAGGCCAAAUGCCACUGGUCAGUGAAACACUGCUCCUAUGCUGGGGUUAGGAAAUUCAAGAGAAACCCCACCUGAGAAUCACUGCCAUAGAUUUUUGAUUCAGGGAAUAUCUAAUUCUUUCUUUAGUUAGUAUCAUUAGCUAUUUUUGGUAUAGGGAUGGAUUUGUUUCGGUACUUUACUUUUUAAAAAUUUUGUGUUUUUGCAGACUCCAAAUCUUGAAUACCAAAAAAUGACUACAGCUAAAAAAGCAGAACUGAAAACAAGUAGCGGAAGACCAUUCCAAAAGGCCUGUAUGGCAGAAAGGAUGUUUUAUGAUAUCAAAACAUUUGAGAGAAAACUGCAGGUUUUGGAAAAAGACCUUGAAAGGGGCAGCUGAAAUAUUUUCCAAAUCAAAAAAUGCAUUUUGGAAAUUAUACAGUAUCUUCAGAAUUUCCUACAAGCCAUCAAUAAGUCUACAAGAAAUUUUCUACCAUUAUAGCAUCUGCCAAGGAAAACUUUUUUACAAUUUUUACAAUUCCAUAAGAUGGAGACAAGUUUACUUUUUUUUUUUACUUCUCUAGAUUAAGUCAGAUUUGAAGAGCUUGAUCUUUCCUGCUUUCACUGGUUAAACUCUAGAAAUAUAGAAAUGGAGCUGUUGGAAUUUCAAGAAAGCUCUAGCUGAAAAAUAAAUUCUAUGACUUGCAUGCCACCCUUGAGAAGAUAGACUAUGAAAAGAUGACAAAGAAGAACACAGUAAUUCUGAAAGUGAAAUCCUUAAAGUGUGGAAUUCUCUGCCAAAUAAUUUUAAGUCAAUGAAAGCAUUUAGAACUGCUUAUCUUACUUUAUUUGGUUCAUCUUAUACUUUUGAGCAACUGUUUUCAGUUUUGAAUUAUAUCUAAUCUGAUACAAGAAACAGACUAAUAGAUGAUCCAAGUACUGCAUGUGCUGCUGUCACACUAAUGAAGUGUAAGCCAGGGUUUGAGAAAUUAUCAGCAUGCAUACGACAACAAAGAUCACAUUAAUUGUGCAAAAGCUGGCCAAAUGCAAAUUUUUACCUUUCAAUAAAAAGCUAUUUAUAUCAUUGAAA